rnacentral:rRNA from 1 species
UACGGAAGUGGCAAGCGUUAUCCGGAAUUAUUGGGCGUAAAGCGUCCGCAGGCGGUCUUGUAAGUCUGUUGUUAAAGCGUGGAGCUUAACUCCAUUUCAGCAAUGGAAACUGUAAGACUAGAGUGUGGUAGGGGCAGAGGGAAUUCCCGGUGUAGCGGUGAAAUGCGUAGAUAUCGGGAAGAACACCAGUGGCGAAGGCGCUCUGCUGGGCCAUAACUGACGCUCAUGGACGAAAGCCAGGGGAGCGAAAGGGAUUAGAUACCCCUGUAGUCCUGGCCGUAAACGAUGAACACUAGGUGUCGGGGGAAUCGACCCCCUCGGUGUCGUAGCCAACGCGUUAAGUGUUCCGCCUGGGGAGUACGCACGCAAGUGUGAAACUCAAAGGAAUUGACGGGGGCCCGCACAAGCGGUGGAGUAUGUGGUUUAAUUCGAUGCAACGCGAAGAACCUUACCAGGGUUUGACAUCCUGCGAAUCUCUUGGAAACGAGAGAGUGCCUUCGGGAACGCAGUGACAGGUGGUGCAUGGCUGUCGUCAGCUCGUGUCGUGAGAUGUUGGGUUAAGUCCCGCAACGAGCGCAACCCACGUCGUUAGUUGCCAGCAUUCAGUUGGGCACUCUAGCGAGACCGCCGGUGAUAAACCGGAGGAAGGUGUGGAUGACGUCAAGUCAUCAUGCCCCUUACAUCCUGGGCUACACGCGUACUACAAUGCUACGGACAAAGGGCAGCAAACUCGCGAGAGCUAGCAAAUCCCAUAAACCGUGGCUCAGUUCAGAUCGUAGGCUGCAACUCGCCUACGUGAAGGAGGAAUCGCUAGUAAUCGCAGGUCAGCAUACUGCGGUGAAUACGUUCCCGGGCCU